UUUCUCCCCCAACAGGAAAAAGCCGGAUCCAUUCUUUAUCCGUCUGGCAAACACUAAUGUGCACCAGUUAACUCGUGUAAGGGGUUUCAUUUCCAAGUUCUAUCUAAUGCGGUCAUAGUAGUUGACUCAAUAUAAUGCCAAGCUUCCUGACACCAUUGAAGAUUCUUCCUUUGCGUUGGAUAUCUAGAUUGUGCUAGGAGGAGAAAGCUGAUCACAUUACUCUUGCCAUUUGGAAAGCUUGGACAAGUUUCUGUAUACUAUGUUUGGAAGCAGCCAUUCUUUGUUUGUAUAGCGUUGUGUAGU